rnacentral:rRNA from 1 species
AGUGAACGCUGGCGGCAGGCCUAACACAUGCAAGUCGAGCGGCAGCGGGUCCUUCGGGCUGCCGGCGAGCGGCGGACGGGUGAGUAAUACAUCGGAAUCUGCCCUGUCGUGGGGGAUAACCUAGGGAAACUUAGGCUAAUACCGCAUACGACCUACUGAUGAAAGCGGGGGAUCGCAAGACCUCGCGCGACAUGCUGAGCCGAUGUCCGAUUAGCUAGUUGGCUGGGUAAAGGCCCACCAAGGCGACGAUCGGUAGCUGGUCUGAGAGGAUGAUCAGCCACACUGGGACUGAGACACGGCCCAGACUCCUACGGGAGGCAGCAGUGGGGAAUAUUGGGCAAUGGGCGCAAGCCUGAUCCAGCCAUGCCGCGUGGGUGAAGAAGGCCUUCGGGUUGUAAAGCCCUUUUGUCCGGGAAGAAAUCGUCUGGGCUAAUACCCCGGGCGGAUGACGGUACCGGAAGAAUAAGCACCGGCUAACUUCGUG